GACGAACGCUGGCGGCGUGCUUAACACAUGCAAGUCGAACGGAAAGGCCCUGCUUUUGUGGGGUGCUCGAGUGGCGAACGGGUGAGUAACACGUGAGUAACCUGCCCUUGACUUUGGGAUAACUUCAGGAAACUGGGGCUAAUACCGGAUAGGAGCUCCUGCUGCAUGGUGGGGGUUGGAAAGUUUCGGCGGUUGGGGAUGGACUCGCGGCUUAUCAGCUUGUUGGUGGGGUAGUGGCUUACCAAGGCUUUGACGGGUAGCCGGCCUGAGAGGGUGACCGGCCACAUUGGGACUGAGCUACGGCCCAGACUCCUACGGGAGGCAGCAGUGGGGAAUAUUACACAAUGGGCGGAAGCCUGAUGCAGCAACGCCGCGUGCGGUAUGACGGCCUUCGGGUUGUAAACCGCUUUCGCCUUUGACGAAGCGUGAGUGACGGUAAUGGGUAAAUAAGCACCGGCUAACUACGUG
rnacentral:rRNA from 1 species